CGCGUGAGAAUCUAGCUUCAGGUUGGGGACAACAGUUGGAAACGACUGCUAAUACCGAAUGUGCCGAAAGGUGAAAGAUUUAUUGCCUGAAGAAGAGCUCGCGUCUGAUUAGCUAGUUGGUGGGGUAAGAGCUUACCAAGGCGACGAUCGGUAGCUGGUCUGAGAGGACGAUCAGCCACACUGGGACUGAGACACGGCCCAGACUCCUACGGGAGGCAGCAGUGGGGAAUUUUCCGCAAUGGGCGAAAGCCUGACGGAGCAAUACCGCGUGAGGGAAGAAGGCUCUUGGGUUGUAAACCU
rnacentral:rRNA from 1 species